rnacentral:rRNA from 1 species
UAUGGGAGGUCUACCUGCCCAGUGACACUAAGUUAAACGGCCGCGGUAUCCUGACCGUGCUAAGGUAGCGCAAUCACUUGUCUUUUAAAUGAGGACCUGUAUGAAUGGUGGAACGAGGGCUUAACUGUCUCCCCCCCCCAGCCAGUGAAAUUGAUCUACCCGUGCAGAAGCGGGUAUAAAUAUACAAGACGAGAAGACCCUUUGGAGCUUAAGACAUAAAGUCAACUAAGUCAAGACACUUGAAAAAAGAAAAAAACAAAAUUAGUUUAUCUGACCGCUGUCUUCGGUUGGGGCGACCUCGGGGAAAAAAAUAACCCCCGUGAAGAAUGGGACUAUCCUAAAACUAAGAGAGACAUCUCUAAGCCACAGAACAUCUGACCAAAAGAUCCGGGAAAUUUACCGAUCAACGAACCAAGUUACCCAAGGGAUAACAGCGCAAUCCUCUUCAAGAGUCCAUAUCGACAAGAGGGUUUACGACCUCGAUGUUGGAUCGGGACAUCCUAAUGGUGCAACCGCUAUUAAGGGUUCGUUUCUUCUACGA